UGUUUUUAGACCAUUUAUGUUUUAUGUGAUUAUUGAUGAGUUAUAGAUUAUGUCUGCCAUUUUAUAUUUUAUUUUGUUUUUUCUCGUUUUUUAUUUUUCUUUUCUUUUUCCUGCCUUCGUGUGAUUUAUUUGAACAUUUUUUUGAAUUCCAUUUUGAAUUAUCUAAUUCUGUUUCAUAUGGGUUGUACCAUUUGCCCUCCCACCAGCAACAUGUAAGAAUGCCUAUUUUCUCAUAGCUUCACCAACAGAGUGUAUUGUCAAGCUUUUGAGUUUUUGCCAAUGAUUAUAAGUGAGAAAUGGUAUCUCAGUGGUUUUAAUUUACAUUUCUCGUAUUAUGAAUGAAGUUGAACAUAUUUUUGUUUUUAACUGUUCUUUAAAGAUAUUUUCACUGAGUGUGACAGUAUGAUAGACUUCCAGUAUAUUGAAGAUUAUACCACCAUCUUCUGGAUUUCUUUGUUGCUGUGAAGAAGUCAGCUGUCAGUUGUCAUUCCUUUGAAAGAU
rnacentral:lncRNA from 1 species